UUGCUGUGAUGACUUUUCUUAGGACACCUUUGGAUUAGCCAUGAAAAGAACAUUUGGUUCUGAGCAAC
rnacentral:snoRNA from 1 species